GACGAACGCUGGCGGCGUGCUUAACACAUGCAAGUCGAACGGAAAGAGAUGAAAGAGCUUGCUCUUUUAUUAAUUUCAGUGGCAAACGGGUGAGUAACACGUAAACAACCUGCCUUAAGGAUGGGGAUAACAGACGGAAACGACUGCUAAUACCGAAUACGUUCUAAGCAUCGCAUGAUGCAUAGAAGAAAGGGUGGCCUCUACAAGAAAGCUAUCGCCUUAAGAGGGGUUUGCGACUGAUUAGGUAGUUGGUGAGGUAACGGCUCACCAAGCCGACGAUCAGUAGCCGGUCUGAGAGGAUGAACGGCCACACUGGAACUGAGACACGGUCCAGACUCCUACGGGAGGCAGCAGUGGGGAAUCUUCCGCAAUGGACGAAAGUCUGACGGAGCAACGCCGCGUGAACGAAGAAGGUCUUCGGAUUGUAAAGUUCUGUGAUUCGGGACGAAAGGGUUUGUGGUGAAUAAUCAUAGACAUUGACGGUACCGAAAAAGCGAGCCACGGCUAA
rnacentral:rRNA from 1 species